rnacentral:lncRNA from 1 species
AGUAUCAGGAUUAUGAAGAUGAUUCUGACUUUGAUAAUUAGGACUGCUAGUAUUGCUUCUUCUAAAAAACUUUUAGUAGGAUGUCUGUAUCUAGUGUUCAGGUCCCUUUAAUUUAUGGAUCAUGUAAAUUGCCUUUUACCCGUUUCGCCUUGAUUAAUGGUUCUUUGCCAGCCCUAUUUAAUCGCGAACUAAAAGAUGAGGAAAUGACUUGACAACUCAAAACUGUCUGUAUUAUCCUUAUGUACUCUUUAUUGCCGCAAAUGAUACUUUUCAUUCUUUGUACUCUUUUAACUGUCCAGAAAUAGCAUUUGACUUGAUAUUUUGAACCAGUUUCAGAAAUGACGUUUGGUUUGAUGUACUAUUUCUCUUCAGUUAUGAGCUUAUUUGAAUUGUCAACAAAUAGUUGACAAAUUGAUUUUAGCUGAAGCUUUUUUGUCUGAAUCUUGUUUUAUUCUAGAUCUCUUUACAGUCCUUUCUUAUGGAAAUUUUAAUUCUGUUUGUUACCUUUUCUCCUCUCUAAAUUAUUCAAUCUGAAAAUGAAUGGAAGAAGGGAUUAAGCUGUGCAAUAUAGAACACCACCUUCCACGUUGACUUUUCGUUUUCUUAGAUGGUCUUAUGAUCUUGGACUCCAAGAAGGAAAUAUCAAGAGGAAAAAGCUGCAAGUGAAAGAAAUUAUUCUUACAUUGCCAUACAUGUAGUUCAAGAUUUUGGAUGAAAAUGUUAAUUGAAUUGUAAAAAUAAGGAGUAAGAGGCAUUUACAUUCAUGCAUGCUACAGCUAGUAUUUGCAUGUCCUGUUAGGGGAAAAAAAAAAGGCACAUUGAAAAUUCAAUGUCGGGCUAAAACAAUGUGGUCAGACUCUCUCACGCCAGGUAGUAGAGGGAAAGCGGGUUCUAUAUGGUGUAACAAUGUUUAUUUUAUAACUAGCUAUUAAUCAAUGGAUCGAUAAUAAUUUUUACCACUCUGUUUAAAUGCCUAAAUCGACUGUUUCAUUUUGUUGAGCAGCAAAUUUAUGUUGAUAGUAUGUCCCUUGGACCUGAGUUUUACCCUUCGGUGUUCAUUUGCCUAAAGCAACAAAAUGGGGCAACAGAAAUGAGAAAACCUCAAGUUUGUUCCAAAAAUAAGCUGAUUUUAUUUUAUUGGUGUUUUGAAAACGACCUAAGAUGAAGCUAUAGGCCCUUUGUUCGAUUCCUGAACUCAGAAUCUGGGAGUCUGGACUGAAGUUGUCAGAUAAAAUUGGCCAAUUUUAACAUCCAUCACUUGCUAAAGAGCAAAAAUAGAGCUUCCUAGCAAACUACUAAGAAAGGGAAAUAGUUUUGAGAGUUCAUUGUGUGCCUCUUUCUUUUUUAUUACUAGGCAAAAGAUGCACAUAUAUAAUUAGCUUAAAUAAACUUAUGAACCUAAUCAACAUUUGUAUUAUCAGCUUCUAAUGAUGCUUUAACAAUGAAACUAAUCCAAUUUUUAGUGUCUAUUUGUUGAUUGAUUAAUGCUUUUCUUUGGUAGCAAUUGCAUCAAUUGAAGUUUGCAUACUUAAACCAGUCUGUUUUUCUAAGGUCCUUCUAUUAAUAAAUUUAAUACCAAAAUGGGACUGCAACCACUUAAACCAGUCUAUUUUUCUAAGGUCCUUCUAUUAAUAAAUUUAAUACCAAAAUGGGACUGCAACCACUUAAAGCUGAUCCCGCACCAAACUUUCUUCAAUUUUCAAAGCAAUUCAUUUUUUCGUGUAUGUUUUUCUAUGAAUUAUGAACCAUAGAGAGAGUGAAUGAAGGUAGAAAGAAAAUCAUAUCCAUUUGAAAUACUCAACCACCAUUGGUUGCUAAUGCUGCCUGUGUCUAUGAGAAAAUGAAGACCAUGAUUAAUAUAAUAUUCUCUCAUCUCCAAAUAUAUAUAUUUUUAUUUUUAUGUUUUGCCAAAUACAAACCAAAUUUUAUGAUGAUAGAGUUAUUGAUUCUUUGGAACUCAAACUUUGGCAAUACAACAAACUUACUUUACAUACAACAGAAAUCAACGUCCAAAAGAAACACUCAAGAAAAAGAGGCAAAAAAAAAAAAAAAAAAAGAAAACGAAUAUCGGCUAAAGAAGGUAUGAGUGUAGUAAAAACCAUGUUUCAUCCACUAGUAAAAAGAUAAUAAUAUGUUACAAAAAAAAAUAAAAAUAAUGAUAGUACAAAUUAAGCAAGUAUCAUUUCAAAAACACCACCCUACUUGUGAUUAAAAAAUGUCUUCCAAAACUCUCAGGUUACAUUUAUAUGUGUUUGAUAUCUUGUCUUGUAGCAGUUAUAAUGAUCUAUAAUCAUUUUUUCCCCAAGAAAAAGGGGUAGUUGAUAAGCUCAUAAUGUAGUUACAUUUUAUGUAUGAGUUUUUCUAACGGGUGUCCUUGGGUUACUCGUCAACACAUCUAGUAUUCACCUAACCUAUUAUAUAUAUACACAUACUAAUAAUUAUUAUCCUUUCUUGCAUUUAUAUACUUUUCUUAUUUAAUCUUAUCUACCCUUCCUUAUAUUUAUUUACUUUCCUUAAUUAAUCUUAUAUUUUCAAAAAUAUAACACCUGAAAUAUAUCUUAAUGAAUGCCUUAUGGGCACCCGUUAGACAAACUGUUUAUGUAUUAAUUUACUCCAUUUUAGUUAAUUACUAGCAUCAUUAUUAUCACAUUUGUUACAUUAAUGAGUUAUUUUUAUUUUUGUAGGUCGUCGCCUAAAUUAGGUUAUUUCCUUGAAGUUUUUGGAAAAUUUCGCAUGAUUUUGUUAAUCUGAAAUUUCUAGAGUUUAUCCGUGCUUAAAUGGACUUAAAGGGUUGUUAAAGGAAGGUUUGUCGAUGCCAAAAUAUGUUGGGAAAGCUGUGGAAAAGAACGAAAUCGCGUUAGCACUACCAUAGAAGACUUAUGGUAAUCAGUUUUACAAUCCAAUCGCGCUUGAGAUUCAGAUUUUGCAGGUUUCAGUAUUUUGAAUAUAUCUUGAACUACAGAUAUAAGAUUGAGAUUAUUCUUGAUAUGCAUUAAAAACUAAUAUCUGGAGCUACAAUUCUUAUGAAAAAUACCAAAAUCCAGUUCUAUCAUUUUAAUAUUGAAAAAAAGUUGAGUUACAGUAGCGAUUCCUGCUGCCAAGUUUUUGAAAACUUCCUCAAUAGGCUUUUGACUAGUAGGUGGUAAUUUUGGCGUAUCUCAAUAACCAAAACUUCCAAUUGACUUGAUCUGAUCUAACCUUGGAUCAAUAUCCUACAACUUAUCAUGUUUUAGUCCAGAUCUGAUUCGAUGUGCUUUAAUGCAAUAGUUCAAGUCAGAUGCUGUCCAAAUCCUUCAACAACUCUGAUUUCCUGAUAUGACUUAAACUUCUUUUAUGGGCUGGAUCUUUUCAUGAAUUAUCAUCCAAGCACUCAAGGAUAUCCUACGAAAUCAAUGCAAAUACCUAGAAGGAGCAUCAACUUCUUAAUGGGCUGGAUCUUUUUGUGAAUUAUCAUCCAAGCAAUGACAGAGUCAAGGAUGGCUAAGUUUAGAAAAUUUUAAGGGGGAUUCGUUUAAAAUAUCUCUCACAUUUUAUAAAAUAACUUUUUUUGUCAUUUACUUUUAAAAGUAUAAUUUUAUGUCCUUUACAAAUUUACAUUUGUCAAAUUUGAUCUCUACCUAGGUUUUCGACUAAUUUUUAGCCAGAAUCUACCACGUACCUUGCACAUGAUUAUUUUUUACGAGUAAAAUUGUCAAAUCAAAUUUUAUAUAAUUCGAUUUAUAAUCCCUCAUAUUUCACAAAAUGAAUUUUUUUUUAUCCCUUAUAUUUUACAAAAUUAAUUUUUUCAUCCUUCACAUUUUUCAAAAUAGAUUUUUUCAUCCUUCAUUGAUCAUAUGUGCGAAUAGUUUUUUUUUAAACCCAUAUACAUAUAUGUGUAUAUAUAUAUAUAUAUAUAUCUAUUUGAUUUUCACCUGAAUAGUACAAAUAGCAUGUACGAAUAGCAUGUAAUAUAUCUCUAUUUGAUUUCGCUGUAUAUAUCUAUUUGAUUUCACCUAAAUAGUAUGAAUAGAUUUAAAUUAGAGUCAGGCAAAGGCCGCUUUGAUACUUGAACGACUAAUUCCUGUGAAAACAAUUAGGACUUGUUCUGUACCGCUUGGUAGACCUAGUUCUCUUGCUAGAAUUGUUAUCAUCAGUUUUUAUCAUUCACUAUGUUUGAUGAUUCAACUCCUACCUGAUUUCCUUAUUGGAAGUACAUUUUCUUUUUUGGAAGUAGAAUAAUGCAUAUUUUCUAGUCCUGCAUUAAGUAAUGCGCAUGAUUAGUUCAUAUAAAUAAAAAUUGAUGAAAAAGUCAUUAGAUUAAUUACUAUAAAAUCAGUGGUCACAACCUAUUUUUCUGUCAUUACUGUAAGAGUUUACUAAAAUUUCUUAGGGUAUAUCACUUUUUUUUCAGGGGAAUAUCCCAUCUACAUUACUUUUUCUUUUACCUAUAAAUUAAUUUAAAUCGCAUUCAAAAUGUACUAGUAGCUAUGUUAGUUAAAUUGCACUAUCCUUAUG